GCCUCCGUAGCUCAGAGGACAGAGCAGCGGUCUUCUAAACCGUUGGUCGUGGGUUCGAAUCCCUCCGGGGGCG
rnacentral:tRNA from 1 species